AGUGAACGCUGGCGGUAGGCCUAACACAUGCAAGUCGAACGGCAGCACAGGAGAGCUUGCUCUCUGGGUGGCGAGUGGCGGACGGGUGAGGAAUACAUCGGAAUCUACUCUGUCGUGGGGGAUAACGCAGGGAAACUUACGCUAAUACCGCAUACGACCUACGGGUGAAAGCAGGGGACCUUCGGGCCUUGCGCGAUUGAAUGAGCCGAUGUCGGAUUAGCUAGUUGGCGGGGUAAAGGCCCAGCAAGGCGACGAGCCGUAGCUGGUCUGAGAGGAUGAUCAGACACACUGGAACUGAGACACGGUCCAGACUCCGACGGGAGGCAGCAGUGUGGAAUAUUGGAGAAUGGGCGCAAGCCUGAUCCAGCCAUACCGCGUGGGUGAAGAAGGCCUUCGUGUUGUAAAGCCCUUUUGUUGGGAAAGAAAUCCAGCUGGCUAAUACCCGGUUGGGAUGACGGUACCCAAAGAAUAAGCACCGGCUAACUUCGUGCCAGCCGCCGCGGUAA
rnacentral:rRNA from 1 species